ensembl:misc_RNA 7SK 7SK RNA
AGAUGUGUUGACAAUCUAUUAUUUUUGUAACCCUACUGAUUUCCUGGCUUAACUCAGCUGAUCUGACUGGCAGGUGGAUGUCCCUCCUCCUCCACCAAUCCAUGUGAGUCCCUCUUGAAGUUAUGUAAUCAGUUGCUGAGGGCAUCCUUUCUCAGUAGAGGAGGCCGGUUCUUUGGUCAAGGUUAUAGUGGCUGUGUUCCUCUGCUAGUGCUUUCAGACAAGCUUCAAGGUCUUUUUGUAGGGCUAUAUAGGGUAAUCAAGUUUCCAGUACUCCAGAUACAUUAAAUAAGGUGCUGCAUAGGGCAGGUUACCUGUCUUU